CCGGGUGAGUAACGCGUGGGUAAUCUACCUUCGGGUGUGGAAUAACUCAGGGAAACUUGAGCUAAUACCGCAUAAUGCAGCGGCUCGACAUCGAGACAGUUGUUAAAGCAGCAAUGCGCCUGAAGAGGAGCCUGCGUCUGAUUAGCUAGUUGGUAAGGUAAUGGCUUACCAAGGCUACAAUCAGUAGCUGGUCUGAGAGGACGGCCAGCCACAAUGGCACUGAAACACGGGCCAUACUCCUACGGGAGGCAGCAGUGGGGNAAUUUUGCGCAAU
rnacentral:rRNA from 1 species